rnacentral:rRNA from 1 species
AUAAGACUGGGAUAACUUCGGGAAACCGGAGCUAAUACCGGAUAAUAUUUUGAACCGCAUGGUUCAAAAGUGAAAGACGGUCUUGCUGUCACUUAUAGAUGGAUCCGCGCUGCAUUAGCUAGUUGGUAAGGUAACGGCUUACCAAGGCAACGAUGCAUAGCCGACCUGAGAGGGUGAUCGGCCACACUGGAACUGAGACACGGUCCAGACUCCUACGGGAGGCAGCAGUAGGGAAUCUUCCGCAAUGGGCGAAAGCCUGACGGAGCAACGCCGCGUGAGUGAUGAAGGUCUUCGGAUCGUAAAACUCUGUUAUUAGGGAAGAACAUAUGUGUAAGUAACUGUGCACAUCUUGACGGUACCUAAUCAGAAAGCCACGGCUAACUACGUGCCAGCAGCCGCGGUAAUACGUAGGUGGCAAGCGUUAUCCGGAAUUAUUGGGCGUAAAGCGCGCGUAGGCGGUUUUUUAAGUCUGAUGUGAAAGCCCACGGCUCAACCGUGGAGGGUCAUUGGAAACUGGAAAACUUGAGUGCAGAAGAGGAAAGUGGAAUUCCAUGUGUAGCGGUGAAAUGCGCAGAGAUAUGGAGGAACACCAGUGGCGAAGGCGACUUUCUGGUCUGUAACUGACGCUGAUGUGCGAAAGCGUGGGGAUCAAACAGGAUUAGAUACCCUGGUAGUCCACGCCGUAAACGAUGAGUGCUAAGUGUUAGGGGGUUUCCGCCCCUUAGUGCUGCAGCUAACGCAUUAAGCACUCCGCCUGGGGAGUACGACCGCAAGGUUGAAACUCAAAGGAAUUGACGGGGACCCGCACAAGCGGUGGAGCAUGUGGUUUAAUUCGAAGCAACGCGAAGAACCUUACCAAAUCUUGACAUCCUUUGACAACUCUAGAGAUAGAGCCUUCCCCUUCGGGGGACAAAGUGACAGGUGGUGCAUGGUUGUCGUCAGCUCGUGUCGUGAGAUGUUGGGUUAAGUCCCGCAACGAGCGCAACCCUUAAGCUUAGUUGCCAUCAUUAAGUUGGGCACUCUAAGUUGACUGCCGGUGACAAACCGGAGGAAGGUGGGGAUGACGUCAAAUCAUCAUGCCCCUUAUGAUUUGGGCUACACACGUGCUACAAUGGACAAUACAAAGGGCAGCGAAACCGCGAGGUCAAGCAAAUCCCAUAAAGUUGUUCUCAGUUCGGAUUGUAGUCUGCAACUCGACUACAUGAAGCUGGAAUCGCUAGUAAUCGUAGAUCAGCAUGCUACGGUGAAUACGUUCCCGGGUCUUGUACACACCGCCCGUCACACCACGAGAGUUUGUAACACCCGAAGCCGGUGGAGUAACCUUUUAGGAGCUAGCCGUCGAAGGUGGGACAAAUGAUUGGGGUGAAGUCGUAACAAGGUAGCCGUAUCGGAAGGUGCGGCUGGAUCACCUCCUUUCUAAGGA